CCUGAUGAGCGUGAAGAAUAAGAAGAAGGACGGGCCUUCUGAAGGUAUGUCUAAUUUGUUCGUAAUUGAAACUAAUCUAAUGGUUUUCCCUUCUUCUAGUUGGGUUCUAGAUUCUGGUUCAAAUGCUCACUUGUAUACUUUUACGUAGGAUCUAAAAGAAAUUAGAGGGCUGAGGGAAGGCGAGAUCACUUUCUGAGCUGGUAAUGGAGUGAGAGUUACUGCUAUGGCCGUCGG
rnacentral:lncRNA from 1 species